CCCUUCGAUGUUCUGGGCCGCACGCGCGCUACACUGAUGCAUUCAACGAGUCUAAAACCUGGUCUGAGAGGGCUGGGUAAUCUUUUGAAAGUGCAUCGUGAUUGGGAUAGAUGAUUGCAAUUCUUCAUCUUCAACGAGGAAUGCCUAGUAAACGCAAGUCAUCAGCUUGCAUUGAUUACGUCCCUGCCCUUUGUACACACCGCCCGUCGCUCCUACCGAUUGAACGAUCCGAUGAAAACUGUGGAUUGAGAGUCUGAGUGGGUUCGCCUACCUCAACUUUCGAGAAGCGGUUUAAAUCUUAUCGUUUAGAGGAAGGAGAAGUCGUAACA
rnacentral:rRNA from 1 species